rnacentral:sRNA from 1 species
GAAAAAGUGUGAAAAAUCAAGGAAAACAAGUGAAAAAGGUGGUGAGUCCUCCGAUUAAGGCAAGGAAAUUACACCCGAGGAUCAGUAGUCUGAGUACUUCGAAAAUCCACACUCUAGACAUUGCUCAGGAUAGUGUGUUGAUAGCUGAUAUCAU